rnacentral:tRNA from 1 species
GGCCCGGUAGCUCAGUGGAUUAGAGCACUGGUCUUCGGAACCAGGUGUCGGGGGUUCGAAUCCUCCCGGGUCGCCA